GAGGGUAUAGUUCAGUGGGAGAGCGCAUGCAUAACAUGCACAAGGUCCUGGGUUUAAUCCCCAGUACCUCCG
rnacentral:tRNA from 1 species